rnacentral:rRNA from 1 species
CCGACGGUGAGAGACGAAAGCUGGGGAGCAAACCGGAUUAGAUACCCGGGUAGUCCCAGCCGUAAACGAUGUGCGUUAGGUGUAUCGGUGACCACGAGUCACCGAGGUGCCGAAGAGAAAUCGUGAAACGUACCGCCUGGGAAGUACGGUCGCAAGGCUGAAACUUAAAGGAAUUGGCGGGGAGCACCACAACAGGUGGAGCCUGCGGUUUAAUCGGACUCAACGCCGGGAAACUCACCAGAUAAGACAGCUGAAUGAUAGUCGGGCUGAAGACUCUACUUGACUAGCUGAGAGGAGGUGCAUGGCCGUCGUCAGUUCGUACUGUGAAGCAUCCUGUUAAGUCAGGCAACGAGCGAGACCCACGCAACAGUUGCUAGC